CGUGACGUCGCGAGAAGUCCACUGAACCUUAUCAUUUAGAGGAAGGAGAAGUCGUAACAAGGUUUCCGUAGGUGAACCUGCGGAAGGAUCAUUGUCGAGACCUGCCCAGCAGAAAGACCCGCGAAC
rnacentral:rRNA from 2 species